rnacentral:rRNA from 1 species
UACGUAGGGUGCGAGCGUUGUCCGGAAUUAUUGGGCGUAAAGAGCUCGUAGGCGGCUUGUCGCGUCGGAUGUGAAAGCCCGGGGCUUAACCCCCGGGUCGUGCAUUCGAUACGGGCAGGCUAGAGUUCGGUAGGGGAGAUCGGAAUUCCUGGUGUAGCGGUGAAAUGCGCAGAUAUCAGGAGGAACACCGGUGGCGAAGGCGGGUCUCUGGGCAAUAACUGACGCUGAGGAGCGAAAGCGUGGGGAGCGAACAGG